AUUGAACGCUGGCGGCAGGCCUAACACAUGCAAGUCGAGCGGAUGAAGGGAGCUUGCUCCUGGAUUCAGCGGCGGACGGGUGAGUAAUGCCUAGGAAUCUGCCUGGUAGUGGGGGAUAACGUCCGGAAACGGGCGCUAAUACCGCAUACGUCCUGAGGGAGAAAGUGGGGGAUCUUCGGACCUCACGCUAUCAGAUGAGCCUAGGUCGGAUUAGCUAGUUGGUGGGGUAAAGGCCUACCAAGGCGACGAUCCGUAACUGGUCUGAGAGGAUGAUCAGUCACACUGGAACUGAGACACGGUCCAGACUCCUACGGGAGGGAGCAGUGGGGAAUAUUGGACAAUGGGCGAAAGCCUGAUCCAGCCAUGACGCGUGUGUGAAGAAGGUCUUCGGAUUGUAAAGCACUUUAAGUUGGGAGGAAGGGCAGUAAGUUAAUACCUUGCUGUUUUGACGUUACCAACAGAAUAAGCACAGGCUAACUUCGUG
rnacentral:rRNA from 1 species